rnacentral:tRNA from 1 species
GCCCAGGUGGCGAAAUUGGCAGACGCGCUAGGUUCAGGUCCUAGUGGGGCUAAACACCCCGUGGAGGUUCAAGUCCUCUCCUGGGCA